UAGGGAAUCUUCGGCAAUGGGGGGAACCCUGACCGAGCAACGCCGCGUGAGUGAAGAAGGUUUUCGGAUCGUAAAGCUCUGUUGUUAAGGAAGAACGAGUGUGAGAAUGGAAAGUUCAUACUGUGACGGUACUUAACCAGAAAGGGACGGCUAACUACGUGCCAGCAGCCGCGGUAAUACGUAGGUCCCGAGCGUUGUCCGGAUUUAUUGGGCGUAAAGCGAGCGCAGGCGGUUAGAUAAGUCUGAAGUUAAAGGCAGUGGCUCAACCAUUGUAGGCUUUGGAAACUGGUUGACUUGAGUGCAGAAGAGGAGAGUGGAAUUCCAUGUGUAACGGUGAAAUGCGUAGAUAUAUGGAGGAACACCAGUGGCGAAGGCGACUCUCUGGUCUGUAACUGACGCUGAGGUUCGAAAGCGUGGGUAGCAAACAGG
rnacentral:rRNA from 1 species